rnacentral:rRNA from 1 species
UGAUCAGAGGAGCUGGGCUCCUUGCGAGCUCAACCUAUUCUCAAACUUUCAAUGGGUGAGACGUCUCGCUGGCUUCACUGCAGCGACGACUCUGAAUCCGAGUGCCCAGUGGGCCACUUUUGGUAAGCAGAACUGGCGAUGCGGGAUGAACCGCAUGUCGAGUUAAGGUGCCUAAGCGGACGCAAAUCAGAUACCAUGAAAGGUGUUGAUUGCUCACGACAGCAGGACGGUGGCCAUGGAAGUCGGCAUCCGCUAAGGAGUGUGUAACAACUCACCUGCCGAAGCAAUCAGCCCUGAAAAUGGAUGGCGCUAAAGCGUUCCACCGAUACUCGACCGUCGUCGGCACGCGACCGGCCUCUCAGGCCGGUCUCAGGCCACGACGAGUAGGGCGGCGCGGCGGUGAGCGUCGAAGGCGUAGCCGUGAGGCUAGCUGGAGCCGCCAUCGGUGCAGAUCUUGGUGGUAGUAGCAAAUACACAAGCAAGAUCCUUGUGGACCGAUGUGGAGAAGGGUUCCGCGCGAACAGUACUUGGACGUGGGUGAGUCGGCCCUAAGCCAACGGGUAAUUCCCGCAUCCCG